AGUGAACGCUGGCGGUAGGCCUAACACAUGCAAGUCGAACGGCAGCACAGUAAGAGCUUGCUCUUACGGGUGGCGAGUGGCGGACGGGUGAGGAAUACAUCGGAAUCUACUUUUUCGUGGGGGAUAACGUAGGGAAACUUACGCUAAUACCGCAUACGACCUACGGGUGAAAGCAGGGGAUCUUCGGACCUUGCGCGAUUGAAUGAGCCGAUGUCGGAUUAGCUAGUUGGCGGGGUAAAGGCCCACCAAGGCGACGAUCCGUAGCUGGUCUGAGAGGAUGAUCAGCCACACUGGAACAGAGACACGGUCCAGACUCCUACGGGAGGCAGCAGUGGGGAAUAUUGGACAAUGGGCGCAAGCCUGAUCCAGCCAUACCGCGUGGGGGAAGAAGGCCUUCGGGUUGUAAAGCCCUUUUGUUGGGAAAGAAAAGCAGCAGGUUAAUACCCCGCUGUUCUGACGGUACCCAAAGAAUAAGCACCGGCUAACUUCGUG
rnacentral:rRNA from 1 species